GCCAGGUGUGGUGGUGCAUACCUGUAAUCCCAGCUACUAGGGAGGCUGAGGCAGGUGAAUCGCUUGAGGCCAGGAGGCAGAGGUUGCAGUGAUCUGAGAUGGCGCACUGUACUCCAGCCUGGGCAACAGAGUGAGACUCUGUCUCAA
ensembl:misc_RNA Metazoa_SRP Metazoan signal recognition particle RNA